GACGAACGCUGGCGGCGUGCUUAACACAUGCAAGUCGAACGGAAAGGCCCUGCUUUUGUGGGGUGCUCGAGUGGCGAACGGGUGAGUAACACGUGAGUAACCUGCCCUUGACUUUGGGAUAACUUCAGGAAACUGGGGCUAAUACCGGAUAGGAGCUCCUGCUGCAUGGUGGGGGUUGGAAAGUUUCGGCGGUUGGGGAUGGACUCGCGGCUUAUCAGCUUGUUGGUGGGGUAGUGGCUUACCAAGGCUUUGACGGGUAGCCGGCCUGAGAGGGUGACCGGCCACAUUGGGCCUGAGCUACGGCCCAGACUCCUACGGGAGGCAGCAGUGGGGAAUAUUGCACUAUGGGCGGAAGCCUGAUGCAGCAACGCCGCGUGCGGGAUGACGGCCUUCGGGUUGUAAACCGCUUUCGCCUGUGACGAAGCGUGAGUGACGGUAAUGGGUAAAGAAGCACCGGCUAACUACGUG
rnacentral:rRNA from 1 species